rnacentral:rRNA from 1 species
CCCUUAGAUGUCCUGGGCCGCACGCGCGCUACACUGACAUGUUCAACAAGCCUCCUAGUUCGACAGGAUUUGGGAAAUCUUUGAACGCAUGUCGUGAUAGGGAUAGAUCAUUGCAAUUAUUGAUCUUGAACGAGGAAUUCCUAGUAAACGCGUGUCAUCAGCUCGCAUUGAUUACGUCCCUGCCCUUUGUACACACCGCCCGUCGCACCUACCGAUUGAAUGUUUCGGUGAAGAUUCCGGAUAGGACUUUUUUGAUUUAUUUCAAUUUUGUCUUAAAAGCUAUCUAAACCUCAACAUUUAGAGGAAGGUGAAGUCGUAACA